rnacentral:lncRNA from 1 species
CGUUACUUAAUGAAAAUAUUUUAAUUAAAAAUCAAUAAUUUAAUAUUUAUAAAAUGCUACUUUUCCAUCUUGCAACACCGCCAACACUGGACAUUAGUUCCACGAGUAGCCGCUGUCGCAAGUAUCAAGAAGAACUGUCAAAUUUUUAAAAAGUUUCACUGUUAGCUGAACCUCCAAAUAAAUAAGUUCCAAGUGGUCGGUGGCUUUUUGAACAAAAAAAGGAAUCACCUUUUAGUUAUUUUUUUUAUACGGAAGUUAUCGUAAUUAAGUUGAAGGAGGAGAAAGUUUUGUUUUGUUGAAGAAGAAAAGUAUUAAUUUGGUAAAAAUUUGGGAUGAUUGCUAUCGGCCACUUGGAACCACUUAAAUGUUCAUCCCACUAACAUCAGGGAUGAAAUGAAAUAAAAAACUUUAGCAGCAGUCACGGGGUAGCCUAGGAGCUGGAAUCGUCUUUUGAGUUGGUUUUUGGACUAUCAUUAUUUUGUUUGGAACUUUGGAAAAGACUUUACGUUAGUUGGUGUUGGACAGUGAUUAAGUAUUUUUUUUAUUAUUAUUCUCAAGAACAUUAAUUUUUUCUAAAUAAUUGGAACAUUCAAUAUCUAUUAAAAAUAUAAAAUUAAAUAAGUUUACAUUAUACUCCACUAAGUUAUUCAUAAUUUUUUCAAACAAAAACAAAAGAAAUAAUUUAAAUAUUUUCACUUUUUAAUAAUAAAUAAUACCUCCUCUUCAAGGCUUCAAAUUUGCAUUUUUCUAAUAAAUUAAUUUCUUUUGUUUCUUUUCUCACGUGUAAAGGUAAUUGAGCUCAACUAUCCGGAGAAAAUUUGGUAAUUAUUUUUUUUAUAUAUUAUAAUUAAUGAACCUUGGCUUUCGUCCCCCUCAGGGUAAUUGACCAUUUAAUUUGUUUUUUUAUUAUUGUAACCGCACAUGAAGGUAGAGUUUUACCUCGAGUAGUGUGUCGGUUCAUUUUUGUACCAUAAAUUGGACUUGACAUUUCAAACCAAUUUUUAGGGGUGGACUUUGUUCCUCUUUUGUUUAAACUACUCUGUAGACUGUAAAUUGUACAUACUUUAUUAGUAAAAUAUUUUUUUAUUAAUUUUAGGGUAUACCUCGUUGGUACAUAUACGAAUUUAUUGUACAUAUAAGUAAAAGCUAAAUACACUAUUGAUUGGGUUGCAUAA